AAGUGCGUCGUCCACGUUUACAUUGCUAGUUCUUCUCGAUUCACGUGUACGUAAAUAUGUGCGGCAAGAACCAACCAACCAACCAUCGGUUUAUUUGACACUGGUAUUUAUUUUAAAGAAGAAGAAGAAAAAGAAAUCGUGGCUAUAAGUUAUGUCUAAUCUUUCAAGCUAUUAUUACGCAGUUAUUACGCGAGAGAGGAUAAUUACUCGAGAUCGAUGGGCGAUAAGUCAAAGAAGGCCGUGGUUUGAUUUAUCCGUAAACAGAAAAAUGCGUUGAGAGAACAAGUGAUAGAAAAUGUACGUUGUUAGUUGGAUU